UGGCGGCGUGGUUAACACAUNCAAGUCGAACGGUGAACCAGAGGUUGCUCUGGGGAUCAGUGGCGAACGGGUGAGUAACACGUGGGCAACCUGCCCCAGACUCUGGGAUAACCUCGGGAAACCGAUGCUAAUACCGGAUACGACCACUUCGGACAUCCGACGGUGGUGGAAAGUUUUUCGGUCUGGGAUGGGCCCGCGGCCUAUCAGCUAGUUGGUGGGGUAAUGGCCUACCAAGGCGACGACGGGUAGUCGGCCUGAGAGGGCGAUCGGACACACUGGAACUGAGACACGGCCCAGACUCCUACGGGAGGCAGCAGUGGGGAAUAUUGCACAAUGGGCGAAAGCCUGAUGCAGCGACGCCGCGUGAGGGACGACGGCCUUCGGGUUGUAAACCUC
rnacentral:rRNA from 1 species